rnacentral:rRNA from 1 species
UGGGGAAUUUUGGACAAUGGGCGAAAGCCUGAUCCAGCAAUGCCGCGUGUGUGAAGAGGGCCUUCGGGUUGUAAAGCACUUUUGUCCGGAAAGAAAUCCUUGGCUCUAAUACAGUCGGGGGAUGACGGUACCGGAAGAAUAAGCACCGGCUAACCACGUGCCAGCAGCCGCGGUAAUACGUAGGGUGCAAGCGUUAAUCGGAAUUACUGGGCGUAAAGCGUGCGCAGGCGGUUUGCUAAGACCGAUGUGAAAUCCCCGGGCUCAACCUGGGAACUGCAUUGGUGACUGGCAGGCUAGAGUAUGGCAGAGGGGGGUAGAAUUCCACGUGUAGCAGUGAAAUGCGUAGAGAUGUGGAGGAAUACCGAUGGCGAAGGCAGCCCCCUGGGCCAAUACUGACGCUCAUGCACGAAAGCGUGGGGAGCAAACAGGAUUAGAUACCCUGGUAGUCCACGCCCUAAACGAUGUCAACUAGUUGUUGGGGAUUCAUUUCCUUAGUAACGUAGCUAACGCGUGAAGUUGACCGCCUGGGGAGUACGGUCGCAAGAUUAAAACUUAAAGGAAUUGACGGGGUCAUAGCUGUUUCC